UACAUGGGGUGCAAACGUUGCUCGGAAUCAUUGGGCGUAAAGCGCGCGUAGGCGGUUAUCUAAGUCGGAUGUGAAAGCCCUCGGCUUAACUGAGGAAGUGCAUCCGAAACUGAAUAGCUAGAGUACGAAAGAGGGUCGCGGAAUUCCCGGUGUAGAGGUGAAAUUCGUAGAUAUCGGGAGGAACACCUGUGGCGAAAGCGGCGCACUGGACCAUAACUGACGCUGAGGCGCGAAAGCUAGGGGAGCAAACAGGG
rnacentral:rRNA from 1 species